rnacentral:rRNA from 1 species
CUGCCUAGUACGGCGAGUGAGCGGCAACAGCUCAAUUUGAAAGCUGGCUUAGGCCCGCAUUGUAAUUUGCAGAGGAUGCUUCUGGCGAGGUGCCUUCCGAGUUCCCUGGAACGGGACGCCAUAGAGGGUGAGAGCCCCGUAUGGAUGGACACCAGACCUGUGUGAAGCUCCUUCAACGAGUCGAGUAGUUUGGGAAUGCUGCUCUAAAUGGGAGGUAAAUCUCUUCUAAAGCUAAAUACCGGCCAGAGACCGAUAGCGCACAAGUAGAGUGAUCGAAAGAUGAAAAGCACCUUGAAAAGGGGGUUAAACAGUACGUGAAAUUGUUGAAAGGGAAGCGCUUGUGACCAGACUUGCGCCGGGGCAGCUCAUCAGGGGUUCUCCCCUGUGCACUCUGCCCGGCUCAGGCCAGCAUCGGUUCUCGUGGGAGGAUAA